rnacentral:rRNA from 1 species
GACGAACGCUGGCGGCGUGCUUAACACAUGCAAGUCGAACGGAAAGGCCUGCUUUCCCUUGUGGAUUUCGGGUACUCGAGUGGCGAACGGGUGAGUAACACGUUAGUGAUCUGCCCCCAACUUGGGUAUAAGCCUGGGAAACUGGGUCUAAUUCCCGAUAGGACUGCAGGGUGGUGCCUGUGGUGGGAAACGAGUUUCUAGUGGGUGGGGAUGAGCUCGCGGGCUGUGAGCUUGUUGGUGGGGUUAUGGCGUACGAAGGCGGCGACGGGUAGCCGGCCUGAGAGGGUGGACGGCGAGAUUGGGCCUGAGCAACGGCCCAGACUCCUAGGGGAGGCAGCAGUGGGGGAUAGUGGACAAUGGGCGGAAGCCAGAUGCAGCGACGCGGCGUGGGGGAUGACGGCCUUCGGGUAGUAAACUCCUUUCGACAGCGAGGAAGCGACGUGGUUGGAAGGGUGGUGACGGUAGUGGUAGAAGAAGCACCGGCUAACUACGUG